AAUAUUUUCUUGUUUAUGACUUUCACUGUUUAUCAGGAUAUAGAUAAUUUUUAUUAAUAAGUGUUUUUACAUUAAAUUUAAUGUUGUUUCCUUUUUCUAGGUGAGGCAUAGAUUACAUGGGAAAUUUCUACAAGAAGAGUCAAUAGCUGCAACUCUGAAGCACUAUACAGAGGACAAUCAGAUAUUCUUCAAAAAACUACAUGAUUUUAAAGUGAAGCUCGGGUGCAUAAAGAAUGUUGUUGAAGAGAUCAACAAGACAAAUAAAAUUGUCUGCGAGGAAGUGAAGAAAAUUAAGGCUGUAUUACCAUCACACUGUGGCCUGGGAGACUCGCUACCAAGAAGUUGUUCUCCAGAAGAAUCUAAAAAAUAUCAGGGAGAUGAAGACUCAUUGCAGUCUACGAAAGAAGCAUUGGAAUCAGAAAAGAAACAGCUACAAAUGAAGAGAGAAAUGCUCCAGGAAGCAUAUGAACAGAGGAAGACAGCAAUCCAAGA